GAUGAACGCUAGCAGGAGGCUUAAUACAUGCAAGUCGAGCGGGAUCCACCGUUCGGGGUGGUGAGAGCGGCGCACGGGUGAGUAACGCGUACACGACCUACCUCUGACAAGGGGAUAGCCCUGGGAAACUGGGAUUAAUACCCUAUACGAUUCCGGAUAAUAAAGGACUGGAAUGAAACGUCCGGCGGUGAGAGAGGGGUGUGCGUCUGAUUAGCUAGUUGGUAGUGUAACGGCGUACCAAGGCGAUGAACAGUAGGGGGCGUGAGAGCGUGGCCGCCCACACGGGUACGGAGACACGGACCCGACUCCUACGGGAGGCAGCAGUAAGGAAUAUUGGUCAAUGGGCGCAAGCCUGAACCAGCCAUCCUGCGUGCAGGAAGAAGGCCCUAUGGGUUGUAAACUGCUUUUGUCAGGGAAUAAACCUGUGGAUUUAUCCGCAGCUGAAGGUACCUGAAGAAUAAGCACCGGCUAACUCCGUGCCAGCAGCCGCGGUAAAAC
rnacentral:rRNA from 1 species